UACGGAGGGGGCGAGCGUUAUUCGGAAUCAUUGGGCGUAAAGGGCGCGUAGGCGGUGCAUCAAGUCAGGCGUGAAAGCCCGGGGCUCAACCCCGGAACUGCAUCCGAUACGGGGUGGCUCGAGACCGAGAGAGGUGAGUGGAAUACCCAGUGUAGAGGUGAAAUUCGUAGAUAUUGGGUGGAACACCGGUGGCGAAAGCGGCUCACUGGCUCGGUUCUGACGCUGAGGCGCGAAAGCGUGGGGAGCAAACAGG
rnacentral:rRNA from 1 species